CCAAAUGCUGAUCCACAAUCACAAAGACCCAAGAGGCUAAAGAGGCCAAAGAAGAGUGUAAAUGAAAAUCUUGAACCAGCAUUUACUGUCACACCUGUAGUUGAUUCGGCACAGGUUCAAUAUCCACCUAUGAAUGAGUUUGGUUCUACACAUACAAAUACAUAAAUUAUGUAGUAAAGAAAGCUUAGACCCAUUGAUGGGGCAGCAAGGCGUAGUUUAACGGGUGGACUGCCAGGUCAACUUAUCUCAGAAUAGGGACCAGGUUUCCACUAUUAGCUUUUUUGUUUUCGAAGCAUAAUUCUGGAGCAGCAUACAGGGAAAGCAAGCUUAGCACUGCUGUGGCAUGUACAUAAAUUUUUUGCUUUUGGGUUAGGGCGAUAUUUGGUUCUGGGUUAACUGGUUCGAAGAUCAUAUUUUGUAGAUGUGUUUACUUCAUAUUUAUGCUGGUAUAUAUUCCAGGUCUAGCAUACCUCUGCCCACAAUCAGAAGCCGUGGGUUGGGGAAAUUUGGCUUUAUUAUUUAUUACUGGAUACCUUGUGGAAAUAGAAAUUUUGUGCCCAACCUAUAUCAAGCUGCCAAGAC
rnacentral:misc_RNA from 1 species